UCACAAAAAGAAAACUUACCACAUCCACUACUUCCACAACACAAAGUUCGACCACUACCACAACAACCUCAUCAACAACAACAGCAAAAACACAUGUCCCUGGAAAAGCACAUGAAACAUUCACAAAAAGAAAGCCUUCAACCACAUCCACUACUUCAACAACACAAAGUUCCACUAAAACAGCAACAGCAGCUGCAACUGAGAAAAAUGAAAAGAUCACAAAAAGAAAACCUACCACAUCCACUACUUCCACAACACAAAGUUUGACCACUACCACAACAACCUCAUCAACAACAACAGCAAAAACACAUGUCCCUGGAAAAG